rnacentral:rRNA from 1 species
AGAGUUUGAUCCUGGCUCAGGAUGAACGCUGGCGGCGUGCUUAACACAUGCAAGUCGAACGAAGCACUUAUGACAGAUUCUUCGGAUGAUGGAUUAAAUGACUGAGUGGCGGACGGGUGAGUAACGCGUGGGUAACCUGCCUCAUACAGGGGGAUAACAGUUAGAAAUGACUGCUAAUACCGCAUAAGCGCACAGUACCGCAUGGUACGGUGUGAAAAACUCCGGUGGUAUGAGAUGGACCCGCGUCUGAUUAGCUAGUUGGUGGGGUAACGGCCUACCAAGGCGACGAUCAGUAGCCGGCCUGAGAGGGUGAACGGCCACAUUGGGACUGAGACACGGCCCAAACUCCUACGGGAGGCAGCAGUGGGGAAUAUUGCACAAUGGGGGAAACCCUGAUGCAGCGACGCCGCGUGAGCGAUGAAGUAUUUCGGUAUGUAAAGCUCUAUCAGCAGGGAAGAAAAUGACGGUACCUGACUAAGAAGCACCGGCUAAAUACGUGCCAGCAGCCGCGGU